rnacentral:rRNA from 1 species
GUCCACGCCCUAAACUAUGUCAACUAGUUGUUGGGAGUUAAAUCCCUUAGUAACGAAGCUAACGCGUGAAGUUGACCGCCUGGGGAGUACGGUCGCAAGAUUAAAACUCAAAGGAAUUGACGGGGCCCGCACAAGCGGUGGAUGAUGUGGUUUAAUUCGAUGCAACGCGAAAACCUUACCUACCCUUGACAUGUACGGAAGCCCGCAGAGAUGUGGGUGUGCCCGAAAGGGAACCGUAACACAGGUGCUGCAUGGCUGUCGU